CCCUGAUGAUGAGUUGCCAUGCUAAUACUGAGCCACCAGAUAGGGCAGUGUUGCCCUGGACUGGUGCCAGUGAGUUUAACAUAACUUCUCAUGUGGAGACCUGAGGGGU
rnacentral:snoRNA from 1 species